rnacentral:misc_RNA from 1 species
GAUGAAGAACGCAGCGAAAUGCGAUAAGUAAUGUGAAUUGCAGAAUUCAGUGAAUCAUCGAAUCUUUGAACGCACAUUGCGCCCGCCAGUAUUCUGGCGGGCAUGCCUGUUCGAGCGUCAUUUCAACCAUCAAGCCCUGCUUGCGUUGGGGUCCUGCGGCUGCCCGCAGGCCCUGAAAACCAGUGGCGGGCUCGCUAGUCACACCGAGCGCAGUAAUACAUCUCGCUUUGGGCGUGCGGCGGGUUCUUGCUGUUAAACACCCCCUUUUUACCAAGGUUGACCUCGGAUCAGGUAGGAAUACCCGCUGAACUUAAGCAUAUCAAUAAGCGGAGGA